CCUACGGGAGGCAGCAGUGGGGAAUUUUGGACAAUGGGCGAAAGCCUGAUCCAGCAAUGCCGCGUGAGUGAAGAAGGCCUUCGGGUUGUAAAGCUCUUUUGUCAGGGAAGAAACGGUGAGAGCUAAUAUCUCUUGCUAAUGACGGUACCUGAAGAAUAAGCACCGGCUAACUACGUGCCAGCAGCCGCGGUAAUACGUAGGGUGCAAGCGUUAAUCGGAAUUACUGGGCGUAAAGCGUGCGCAGGCGGUUUUGUAAGUCUGAUGUGAAAUCCCCGGGCUCAACCUGGGAAUUGCAUUGGAGACUGCAAGGCUAGAAUCUGGCAGAGGGGGGUAGAAUUCCACGUGUAGCAGUGAAAUGCGUAGAUAUGUGGAGGAACACCGAUGGCGAAGGCAGCCCCCUGGGUCAAGAUUGACGCUCAUGCACGAAAGCGUGGGGAGCAAACAGGAUUAGAUACCCUGGUAGUCCACGCCCUAAACGAUGUCUACUAGUUGUCGGGUCUUAAUUGACUUGGUAACGCAGCUAACGCGUGAAGUAGACCGCCUGGGGAGUACGGUCGCAAGAUUAAAACUCAAAAGUAGUAGUACGACGNGAGAGACGACGACGACGACGACGAGGAGGGAGGAGG
rnacentral:rRNA from 1 species